rnacentral:rRNA from 1 species
UACGAGGGGGGCAAGUGUUGUUCGGAAUCACUGGGCGUAAAGGGAGCGUAGGCGGGCUCUUAAGUUGGAUGUUUAAAACCGGGGCCCAACCCCGGCGUGGCAUCCAAAACUGGGAGUCUUGAAUGGAACAGAGGCUAGUGGAAUUGGAGGUGUAGCGGUGGAAUGCGUAGAGAUCUCCAAGAACACCCGUUGCGAAGGCGGCUAGCUGGGGUUCACAUUGACGCUGAGGCUCGAAAAGCGUGGGGGAGCAAACAGGG